rnacentral:lncRNA from 10 species
AAAAGACAAGCCCCAGUGCACAAGUGCUUUCCAAACUUCUGCUUGCCUGAUGUUUCUUAAUGUCUCCUUGGCUGAAGCAAUGGCCAAGCCCACAUUCAAGAGCUAGAGACAGAGCUUAUACCUGUUGAUGGGAGGAAGAGCAGAGUCACAUUGCAAAGGGGUAUGCCUACAAUUUUGGAAGGAAUUCGUGGACAUUCGGCAAUUUCUUACAGACAUGUGACACUUUCGGGCUGAAGCACUUAAGAGCCAGUGUGCCCUGUCCAUUUCUGUCUUCUGUCCUGUGGAUUUGGAAGCAUGUGUUGACAGAACAAUGUCUUAUGGUGAAGGAAGCCUAAACCCCUGAGUCAUUGGAUGGAGGAGAGCCCAUGUUGACCCAUAAAGGACUUCAUGGUCUCGCUCUGUCACCCAGGCUGGAGUGCAGGCGUGCUAUCUUGGCUCACUGCAACUUCUGCUUCCCGAGUUCAAGAGAUCCUCAUACCUCAGCCUCCUGAGUAGCCGGGACUACAGGCAUGCGCCACCACACCCAGAUAUGACUUAGAAUAUGAUUGAAUAUGAAUACAUGAUUGAAGAUAUAUUAUAAAAUUGAGAUACUUGUUGCACCACUCCAGGCAUAUCAUGUGCACUGGCCCUGCUAGCUAAUGCUCUUCCCCCCACUACCAUCACCUUAUGGUAAACUCCUACUUACUUCUUUUUUUUUUUUUUUUUUUUUUUUGAGACGGAGUCUCGCUCUGUCACCCAGGCUAGAGUGCAGUGGCGCGAUCUCGGCUCACUGCAUCACUGCAAGCUCCGCCUCCCGGGUUCAGGCCAUUCUCCUGCCUCAGCCUCCCGAGUAGCUGGGACUACAGGCGCCUGCAACCACGCCUGGCUAAUUUUUUGUAUUUUUAGUAGAGACGGGGUUUCACUGUUAGCCCAGUUUAACCAUCAACACUUCCAUAGAGCACUCUCCCACCACUCCCAUAGUAUUAGCACAUCCUUUAUUCCAGCAUUAAUUCUACUACAGUUUACUUGUCUAUUAACCUAUUUUCCCCUCUAGAAUCUGAGCUUCUUGAAGCAGGGACAGUCAUGUAUGCAUCUUAAAAAAAUCUUCAAUCUCCAGUGCUCAUCAGAAGACCUGGCACAUAGCACAUUGUUAAUAACUCUUUGUUAUAUGAAAAAGUCCAUAAUGCAUUUUUGCUUUAAACUUUGCCAGGGAAGAAAAUUUGGAUGCUGUUUGUGUAUACUUCUUUGCCGUUCUUUGACAAUAAAAUAGAGAUAAUAUCACUUACUGCCCUUCUUCACACCUGAUAGAGUUACUGAGCUGGGAUAAUAGAUGGGCAAGGUGAAAGUGAAAGAAUUAAAUACAAAAAUCCAUAAUAGUGAUUAGACUUUCUUUGAUAUUAACAACAGGUAACAUGCAUUGAGCGUUUACUAUGUUCCAGGCAUGAAAUUAUCAAAUUUAUUUCUUAUAAUAGCUGCAAUUUUAGGUGAGUAAAUGAAAUUUUAGACAGUUUAAGUGACUUGUCUGAGGUGAAACAACUGGCAAGUCAAAGACUUUCUGAAAUCAGGGUCCACUAUGUGGAAACUAUUCUAUAUCGACUCACCAGUGAAGAUAGUGUGCUCCACUUAAAUGAGAAAAGCAACGAACAAUAAGCCCAGGGUGAAGAUUUGGUUACAUACCCUGCUUCUCAGGUUUUGCUUAAGUUUAGCGCCCACCAGGAAGAAAGAAAACGAUUAUCUGCCUCCUUGACUUUUGCAUCAUUUGUCUUUCUUCUGAUGAAAGUGGGACUAAUCACUGAGUUAGGGUUUCCUUAUUUUUAGUCUACACCAUGUUGCUUUAUCCUAAAAGGAUAAAUAUGGGCUGUGUGAUGGUUGACCACCUUUCUUCUUCCUUCUAUGAAGGUCUGAAAGGGCACAAGACAGGUAAAAAGGAAACAGCUUUUCUUUAGUAACUAAGUUGCUAGAUUUUUGAUCUCAUGGCCCUGAGCUACACGUGAAUGACUUUGACCUGUAAUCUGAAAUAAGAUAGACUUCAGAGUUCACCUCUCCCACCAUUUCACUCCAAAGGUGAGAUAAGGUAGAGUUGCUAAAGGUACAGUAUGAAGGGCAUGUGGCAUUUUAGUGUUGACAGUAUGCCAGCUCUAAGACCUGCUUCUUCCAUCUCCAACCAUUCCUGCUUGCUCCCCACUCCAAGCUGUGAUCCCCCCGAGUGAGUGAUAGAAGUGGCAAGAGGUUGUUCGGAAGAUUAAAGACCCAAGUCACCAGAGGCUGCCAUCUCGCAAGAAUAUUUAGACAUUUUUCCACUUGGCAGUCAUUAAUAUUCUUCAGCAAAGAGUAAAAAGAAAGCCUGUUCAAAAAGCCUCCCUCUUCAGAUCUCUGUACCUUGGAAGAUAAAGUGAAUGAAAGGGUUUUGUUAUGAAAUUAAAUAUUCAUUGGAUUGAGUUAGAGCUAUUACUGUUCUUGAGAAUAAAACUGGAUUUUUCCUUUGUUUUAAAUAACUACGGUCAUUUUAUGUAAGAAUCCAUUUCUGUACUGAAUUGAUCAGGGUAACGCAUGGUGUGAUUUUUCUAAUAUAAUAGACACAACAGGGAAAUGAAUACAGAAGGGCUCAAAGUAUUUUAUAGAGGGUAUACGAGCAAUUUGACGUCGCAGAAAACCUGUCAGAAAGAAGCACCAUGGAAUAGAGGAAAGAGGCCCGGAAUCCAGCCCCGGGAACUGUGACAGCCUCUGGGGUGGGGACUCUCGUGGAAAGGCUAGAUGAUGGAGUCACGUGCUCCCUUCCCGUUCACUAGCUGCUGAUUGGCCAACUGCUCCUGCCAGCUGUCCCUGCACUCCAGCUUCCUACCAUAUGCUCCAGAAUAACGUCUGGAAAAUUUGUCCACGUCUCUGCCCUGCUUCAAAUCCUUCAGAGGCUCCCCAUCACCCACAGGGAUGAUCUUUCUGAAAUGGAUUUGGCCAUGCCAGUCUCCUGCCUGAAACAGCCCUCCUGGCUCCUUGUCACUCAAAGGAAAAGGCAAACUCCUCAAGACUGCACAUAAUGCCCACCUUCCCAACCAGCCUCUCCUACUGCCACUCUCUCUCCUACACCCUACCUUCCAAACCCUACUUGGGGUUCACCCUCACAUGCUGGAGUUUUCCCAUCUCUGAGACUUCAUUCAGGCAGUUCCUUCUGGCUUCGGAGGCUUCUUUGUUCCUAAAGUUCAUACUUUAAGACCUAGCUGAAAUAUCAAGGCUUCCUGGACUCUGCAGGUGACACGAGCCACUGUGCUCCUGGAUGCUUCAGAACCUGUGCAGAUCUCUGUCUUCACUCCUACUAUGGCAUCUCCUAGCAUGUUCUACACUGAGCUCCACUGGGCCUUGCAUGUCAGUAUCCCGAAUUCUGAAUGAAGCUUGGAACAUGGGAGGUGCAUCCACUAACAACAUGAAGAAUGAAGACAUGUAUUGACUACCUUUGACAAAAGUAUGUCAAAAGCAAUACAUCUUACUAGUGGAGCGAAGACACUGCAUGCUGACAAAGGUGAUCUCAGAUGUGAGGUCGAUGGUGCGCCAUGCAAUCAGCUUGCUGAGUGAGCCUACUUAUGCCCCAUCCCGGGGGCCUAGGGUAAGAAAAGUGCCAAGCGAAGCUGAGGAUCAGACUAAAGCUGGAAGGUGUCAAGGCACAGGCUGAGUCAUCAGAACACCUUCCCUGAAUUGUGUCAAACAAGUGUACAUGUGCUCAAGUGUAUCUGGAUUCUGAUUUGGCUGCACAGUCACUGUUUUCCAGAUGUUUGCAGAAGAAAUAUGAGCUGGAGGAGACUCACUGAAAGCUGGAACUAGAAGGAUGCACACUGCUCAUCCAAGCCAAUUCACUUAUUUUACCAAUGAUAAAACUGAGUCUCAGAGAAGUCAUACGCUUGCCCAAAGACACAGCUUGUGGUGGAGGAGUCAACACCAGAACUCUGGUCCAGGACUGCAAAAAAACACUUAACAUGUGCUAAUAAUGAGGAUAAAAGAUACUUCAAAUUCUGGGAGUUCUAUAAUGUUUGAGCACAUAUACCAUUGAAUCCUUUUAAUAACCCAUCGCUUACACAGAUGAGGAAACCAAGGCUCAUAGAAAUAAAGUGCUUUGCCAAAAGGCACAAAACUGGUCAGUAAUAAAUCUGAUCUCCAGGUUCCCAGUCCAGAACUUUCUGCAGCACUAUCUUUUUGUUCCCUUUAACUACCAGAAGCUUUAACCCAAAAUGAGGCUUCAACUAUAAAAGCUAUUUAAGACCUUAUGGCUGCGUAUCUCUGCCCUAAGUUUUCUCUUGAUCCUUAUUUUAUAUUCUAAUGUUUAAAACUUGUUCCCCAAAUUUUUAAAGUUUGCAUUCAUUUUAUUUCAAUAAGCCACGCCAAAAUCUGUGUGUCAUAAGCUAUCUAUACGUAAAUAAAUGAACGAAUGAAUGAGCAAACAAACAAAAUCUUAAGAGGCAGAGUAACAUGGUGGAAAAAUACCAGGCUUACAUUCAAUUCAAUACCACUUUGUCUAUUGUCUUCAUCUUUGAGCCUCACUUUCAUUAUCUGUCAAACAGGUCUAACAAAAUUUAUCAUUAAGCAUUAUUAUAAGUCUAAAAAUAAACAUGGAACAUAUGAAGAAGGUUUGUAUGUUAUCAGUGGUAUCUAAAUUGGCAGCUCAUAGUAGUAUUACUAGUAAUAAUAAUAUAAACAAAGAAGCCUGAUUAAUGCAAGUGAGAUGAGUUAUUUGACUCCAGAAACCCCGCCUCCAGACAUGAGUUACGGCUCUCAUUGGGUUUUAUG